UACGUAGGGGGCAAGCGUUGUCCGGAAUCAUUGGGCGUAAAGAGCGUGUAGGCGGCCUUAUAAGUCUGCUGUGAAAGUCCAGGGCUCAACCCUGGGAUGUCAGUGGAUACUGUAAGGCUCGAGUCCGGAAGAGGCGGGUGGAAUUCCUGGUGUAGCGGUGAAAUGCGCAGAUAUCAGGAGGAACACCGAUGGCGAAGGCAGCCCGCUGGGACGUGACUGACGCUGAGACGCGAAAGCGUGGGGAGCAAACAGG
rnacentral:rRNA from 1 species